rnacentral:lncRNA from 1 species
AUGGGACCACCAGGGGCGGGGCUCAGAGGGGAGGCCUCUGGUCCUCUCUGCAGGCUUCAUUUUCUUAAACGCUUUGAAAACAAAGACAGCCAAGCAUCAGUGCCUGCCAAGUCAGGUGUGCCCUGGCACGCGUCUAGCAGGCCACACACACGCGCAUCUGUGGAUGUGUAUGCAACGCUCCACGCACGUGUGCUCACUCAGUCAUAUCAGCCCCUUUCCAACCCCAUGGACUGUAGCCCACCAGGCUCCUCUGUCCAUGGAAUUUUUCAGGCAAGAAUACUGCAGUGGGUAGCUAUGUCCUUCUCCAGGGAAUCUUCCCAACCCAUGGAUGGAAUUCCUAUCUCCUGCCUUGGCAGGUUGAUUCUUGACCAUUGCAACCACCUCAACUCACUAUAAACGGUAAUAAUCUCACAUACAAAACGUGUUAAUCUUGUUGCUGAACCAGGGCAGUGGCCCCCUUUCCUGAGCCCCGGACACUGGUGAGUUCCCCGAGGGCCAGGCCUGGCCCCCAGGGAAGCUCCACAUGCAGAGAAGGGACUUCCGAUCACAGGAGGGUGUGAUGACACCUUGGACCCUGUUACUUUACACCCGACGCGCGGUUGAGACACAGCGUCCCCAACCACAGGCGGCACUACCUUCGUAAGUCGUCCUUGCUGGUGUCGAUGUGAUACUUGAGCAGCUGGACCUCGGGGCCCGAGGAAGACAAGAUAAACGCGUCCAUGUAAUAAAACUGUGCAGACUGGACAGGCUUAGGGAACGUGUCUUUGCCCUGCAGUGAGAAUCAGUCAUCAUCACGAAUAAAUAAGUGUCAGUAAAAACUCUACUGCUAUAAAUAUGAGACCCUCUCAUCCUAACACAAACAUCCACUUAUUCUAAAUGUGCAGAAUGCCUCCUGGAAGAACCAACGUGCAACCUUCGGUGCUUCUUCCUGACUCUGUAAACGAUGCUGCAUAAUUAAGAUUCUACUGUAGUGACUGUUUGGAAUUCCGGCCAUUUAAAAACUCUAAAAGGAAAGAACAUUGAAACCCGACAGGACAUGCACUGAAGCCAGAGUUCUCCACCUGUUUUAAACCUGGUUCUGAGGCGUCUGCUCCUCCGAUGACACGGCCCAGCCCGUGCAGGGUGCAGAAGUCAACAGGACUCUGGGCCCCAAAGCCAACCCCCUCUCCCCUCGGCCCUGCCUGCCAUCCUGGGUGUGACCAGCCUUCCUCGAGCAGCGCCCAGGACUCAAGUCUCCUUUCACGAGACUCACAGGAUGGGUGCGAGCAGCGUCCUCGAACCCGCUUCCUGCCAGCGAGGAGCCUGGUGACUUAGAGCCGCGUCACCUGUCCCCUACCUGUCUUCCUGACUCCCUUCCCUUGUCUCCAAACAGUCUCCUAUGAAAUCACUAAAGUAAGGCAUUUUUCUCCCCAAAACACAUCUCCCCCACAUAGUGUCCUGUGAGCGUUAUUAUCGCCUCUACUAUAGAAUCACACUUAUUUUUGCAUUUAAAUCAUUCCCAUAUUUUACUACCGUUCCGCCAUUUUCGGACCACGCAAACGUCAGGCGUAUGCAACCGCAUGUGCACACGUGUGCGCGCGUGUGCUGCGUGUGCUUGCGUGUCACGUGUCCAUGUGAACACACCGUGCUGCCCGCCUGCCCCUGCCCCCCGGGCGGGGCCGGAGACUGCGCAGGAGAAGCUGGGCAGGGCCCCCGACCGCCCGCCAUCUGCGCCAGGGCCCCGUUACCAGACGCAGUGCCAGCUCCGGGCCGCGCGCCGACCACACCCGCAGCGUCCCGUCCUGGGAGGCGGACAGCACCCAGCGGCCACCGUGGCUCC